GCCCGCUUAGCUCAGACGGUAGAGCGCGGGACUUUUAAUCCUGAGGUCGAGGGUUCAAGUCCCUUAUCGGGUG
rnacentral:tRNA from 1 species